rnacentral:tRNA from 1 species
GCCUGGGUGGCCCAGUUGGUUAAGCAUCUGUCUUCAGCUCAGGUCAUGAUCCCAGGUGGGAUCGAGUCCCACAUCAGGCA